GACGGAGGGCGCAAGCGUUGUUCGGAAUUACUGGGCGUAAAGCGCGGGCAGGCGGCCCGUUAAGUCUACUGUGAAACUCCGGGGCUCAACCCCGGACAUGCAGUGGAUACUGGCGGGCUAGAGAAUGGUAGAGGCAAGCGGAAUUCCUGGUGUAGCGGUGGAAUGCGUAGAUAUCAGGAAGAACACCUGUGGCGAAGGCGGCUUGCUGGGCCAUUUCUGACGCUCAUCCGCGAAAGCGUGGGGAGCAAACAGG
rnacentral:misc_RNA from 1 species